GGACUCGGCUUGCUGAGUGCACACAGCGAGAGGCGAGGC
rfam:Simian immunodeficiency virus strain SIVcpz, complete genome.